CGCCGUUAAGUCAUCGCUGCUGCCACCCAGGCACGGCUCUCUAUGCCGCCGCUCCCUCCACCCUCUAGGCACUGCCUGCCGUAAGAAUUUUAACUGCGACACUCGCUUCAGCAGGAGAUUUUAUUGGCUGCAGACACACGCAGCAUCUUCUUGCGCUCCUCCUUGAGGUGGAUGGGCAGCUAGCUGGAGAUGACACAGGAUGAUGCGCAUCUUUCGCACGCUGGCUCCAAGAUCUCCGCUGCCAGAUGCAGCAACAAAGCUUCUUUGUACAGACAGCCCUGGACACACUUCCAGCAGCAAUUCUUCUUGCAGGAACUGGUGCAAGAACAGGAUUUAUUCGUGGCACAGGAGCAGUUGGUGUCCACUGGGAGUGGAGGCAGAAGAGAGACCAGAGCGGUGACUUCAACAGAAGUGGAGUAAAUAAAGAUGAUCACAGAACUUGGAAGCUGACGAAAUUAAUUUUGGAAAAGAGCUGGCUUGGAGCAUGACAGAAGAAUUCGAUGGAAAGAGUGCUGGGAGCCCAACUCAAGACUGAUGUGUGCUUGGCAGGCAGUCUACCCCCGAUCUCAGUCCUCCAGCCUUUCGGCCUUUUUUCCUUUUUGGAGACAGAAUUGCAUCAUAUGGCAUCCUACACAGUCCUGCCUCAGUCUCUGCAGUGCUGGGAUUGUAGGCCUAUGCCACCUAGCCUUUCUACAAUACAAACAAAUAUGAAAAGAAGAGGGACUUCUUUGGAAAGGAGUACAGGGACUAUGGAAGAGAUGAAAAGAUAAUAUUGUCAGAAAUUAUGCCGCUUUUGAAGAGAUAAACUGAACUCUUUUGAUUCUGUGAGGUUAUUAAAGAAUAUUAAUUUUCAAAUCACGGUAAAAUCUUGAUUCAGCAACACAUGAGGAUAAUCAUUGUGUCCAUGGAAACCUUGGGAAGCAGUUGAAAGCCUGGUCCCUCUUGCCUGGAGCAUUAACACAACGUGGCUGCAAAGUUAGUCCUUUCCCGCUACCAUCUCCUGAAUACUGGGACUAACUACACGUAUGCACGAACCUGCCCAUCUUUGCCUCUGUUAACAGCUGCCACUGUCUCUUCACGACAUGAUGGCUGACCUAGGUUGGAAGGAACAGAGCCAGUUGGCCAUGGACUGAAACUUUUGGAACUGUUGGACUACAGUGAUCACUGAGUAGGAGCUUCGUCUUUAAAAUCUGGGGUGUGCUGUUAUGGUUGGUAUUCAUUUUCCUUUACCUGCUUUCCCCAUACCUCCAUUUAUAAUUUUAUUGCUGCUCAUAGCUCCAGAAGGAUAUAGUAACAGAGCAGGCAUGGCCUCAGUGUGGUAAGCUAAGUGAGAACAGGAAGUGGAACCAGGGUAGAAAACCCCAGUCUUGCCCCUAGUGACACACCUCAAGCAAGGUUCUCCUUCUGAAAGGUCCCAUUACAUUCCCAAAUGUAGCCACCACCUGGGAUAUGAGUGUUCAAAUACAUGAGGUAGGGCCACGGUGUUCCUUCAAAGCACCACAGAGGGCAGAAUGUACACCCUGCUAGAAUAGCUUUCUAUGAAAGGAUCCAUCUCUUCACUGGAGCAGGCAGACAUAUGAAGAAGACAACUUGGAGUGGUCGUGAAAGGAUUUGAGGUUUGGCAUGGACUCUAAGAAGCACGAGAUUUGUGGUUUUCCUUCUUUGUUUCUUGCUAGGUAGUCCUGGCUGUCUAGUAACUACCUACAAAGAUCAAGGAGACCCCAAUCUUGUAGCAAUCCUGCUGCUGCCUCACAAUUGUUAGGAUUAUAGACAUGGGCACAUGUUCAUUAGAAAGUUGCACUGUUCUCUAAUUCAUCUUUUAAGAUAAACUAUAGAGGGAUGAAGAUUAGCAUGUUACACCACCACAGAUAGAAACCAUUCUAGUAUCACGAAACAUCCAACUCAUGUAGAAUUUCCAUUCGCUGUUUGGGAUGAUAGAGAGAUGGAAUUGAGUUUUUAGAAGGUAAACCACACAAGAAAGUCUAGGGAACUGACAGAGCCUGGCUGGAUUGCACAGUUCGUCCUCAAACGACUUUUUACUGACCCAGCUCCUGAGGAAAGGACCCUGGUGUCUGAACUUCAACGCUGAUUUAAUAAUCAUUGUUUUCAUGACUGGUCCUUUAGAAAUCUGGCCUGCUUUAUAUUUGCCCCUGGGGUUUAGACAAGGGAGAAAAAUGGAAAAUACUGUCCGAGGUAACCACAGCCACACAGAACCUCAUACACCAAGUGGUUAGCCUUAUCAUAGAGCACAGGUGCCUGUUCUCAGUCACAUGCUAGCCCUGUCUUAGGAUUUUGUUUACAUUAACCAUUCUAUUUCACAGUAUUAAUGUCCUUAUACACAAGAUACACAGAAAUCUUUGUUGUGUUAGACAUCAACAAUGAAAAAUCCCUCAGGCCUAAAUAUCAGAAGAUAGCACCAAAAUACCAAGUCAGAACGAAGAGGGUGGCCAGUGGAUUUGAAGGUAGAUGCAGACUUUAUCAUGGUUACUCCUACAAUACAGAACAUUCUUGUUUAUUAGUCUGAUACCAGCCACCUGAUGUCAUGUUGGCAACUAGAGAAGCUUUAUAUAAGAACAGGAGCUCUGUAAGAAAAUAUUGUAGGAAUUAGGCUUUAUAAGACAAUCGUGGCCCUUGGCAGUCUUGGUUAAGUCUCUUAGGAUGGUUAGGGUAGAACUUAGGUGUGAAAAGUCUUGACUUUCAAUUAUUCUACAUUGAAUUCCCAGAACACCUGAGUCAAGCUUUAUUGUGUUUAUUACCCUUGGUCUUGCCUCCUCAUUCUUGUGUGGACUCCUUAACUCCUGCCUCUCUUUACCCAACCCAAAUGUGUUUCAGCAAUCUUCUUUCCCUGCCCAGUACUGGAUCUGUGAAAAGCUGAAUCAUGAAUCAGUGAGUGUGCGGAUUGGAACCCAAGUUGCUCUCUGGAUAGAACGAAAGGAGUCGUGCCCCAAGAAGAUGGAGAGGGAAGUUAUGAAAUGCUGUGACCAAAUAACAAAUGCUGAUGUUUGGGGAGAUAAUUGUUUCCCAUAGGAAAUAGAGUGAAUGCGAUGUCUUUCUUUUGUGAGGGAUUCAUAGACCGCUUCUCAACGCUUGUUACAUGUUACUCCUUUUUUCGAGAUUUUUAUUUACCUAACUGGGAAAGAAACCAGAACAAGGUUUUCAUUGAAUUCUGAUACAGGUAUUUAAAGACUUACGGACAAGAUAUAGAAGAAGAAGUGGUAAUUAACUGAUUAAAGAAGUACAGUUUAUAUCCAGUAGACAGACAGGCUCCAGACAUCCUUAGUGCUGUCUUAGCAUCAAAGGUUAAUCUGCCUAAUACUUGUCAUCCUGAAAUGCAUGGUGGAACAUCCAACAGACAAGAGCUACUUCAGGGAAGGACUAUGAUUUUUGUCGUGGAAGACAUUUAACACAGGGCAGCUCCUGUGCACUUACAUGAUAGAUAUUGCUCUUCCGGGGACUCUGAAUGCUCAUCCCACUUUCAGCUCACUAGGCACAUCGAACUAGAAAUUUUAUCAUCUCGUGAAUUAGUCCAAUACCUGAAGGAGCAAGAGAACCAACACCCAGUUGACAAGAAUAUGACCUGUUGAUUGAAGACCAUUAAGAAAGUAACUUGAUUCAGUUGGACUGGACUUUUUUAUUCUAUUGAAAAAGGAAUUUAUUUCCCCUCAGUGAACGUAACAUGAUCAACAUUUUGAAAGUUGUGAACAUGCAUAGUUCUAUAAUUUACAAAAUAAUUAUAAAAAUCUGAGUAUGGAUGCAGCAUAAUUUCAGAACAGAAUAGCCAUCAUACUUUUUAUAUAUCUUAAAUUCGAGUUUUCAAGAGUAUAUUUCUAUGUUAUAUCCUUUGAUUAGUACAAUAUAAAAUCUACAUCUAAUAUGUACUUCAGGUUUUAUUAGAUCAUGCCAUAUUACUGUACAAUUUGGACUUUUCCAUUUUUAUAUAAAAUGUAACAUGCAUUGUANNNNNNNNNNNNNNNNNNNNNNNNNNNNNNAUAUCUUUAGAAUUAAUUUCUGCCAAUUAUUUUCUUUAUUUGAAUACUUGGGGUAUCAUAAAGGUGCUGUUGAGGUAUUCUCAAUAUGCUUGUACAACUUCCUGCCUGUAGUUAAUAAAUGUGGAUAUUUCAUUAAACAAUUGAAAUAUAA
ensembl:lincRNA Ftx Ftx transcript, Xist regulator (non-protein coding)